AAGGCCAUUCUCAUUAUACUGCUUGCUUUUCUGCAGUCAUAACUGGGCUGAUCAAUGGCUUUUGACAGCUGAAUAUUGAGAGGACCAAAGCACUUGUGGAAGACACCAGAUUUGAAGCACAGACCAUGAAGACUGCCCACUUUUCUGGGAGAAGAAUGUGCUUCUAAAUCAUCUAUGAGUCAGCCUGUGAGUUGGAGUUCAGAUAAGCCUGUGGUGUUUGUUCACCAGAUGGACUGUAAGCUCUUCAAAGUACAGGAAAGGAUAUUGCUUAUUAACAUCGCUCUAAACUUCAUUUAUUUCCUUGUACAAAGUCGGACUACUUGAUUCAAUUUUAGACUGUGUCUAUGUUGUAAGGAGGAAGGAAGGUGCAUUUUUAUAGCAUGAUAGGUAAAUCUAGCUAUGUAGAUCAGAGUAAAAAUUUUAUUGGAACAGCCUUUUUCACAUAAUUCUAGGUAGCCAAGACUGAUACCCGCCUCCCCUCAAAUAUACCCACAUGUUGAUUUUAUAUAUCUAUUAUACCAAGGUAAAAAAAAAAAUUUAGGCCAAUUUUCUGUUAGGAUUUUACAGCAAAUCAGCCCAUUUAUAUCAGAUACACCUGUUUAAAACACACCACCUCUUUGACAGUUAGGUGCAACCAUAAUACUUUUCCAUUAAGUAUCAAAUGUGUUUUUUCUCUCGUAUACUUGUACUAGACACUAAUAGUCUCACAUAACAUGAGCAACAUCAGAGAUUUUCAGAGUGGUAAUUCCCCUUUGUGUAGCCAGACUAAAUCUUUUUUGAUGCAACACAGAUCACUCGAGCUGCCACCAUUUAUGAAUGUGAUAAUAAGAAAAGUCAUUUUUAUGGUUGUAACUUUUAUAAUGUCAUUUCUGAUUUUUGUUUGUUCUGGUUAGGAUUUGUGCGGUUGAGUUUUUUAUUUUUGUGAUUUUUUUCAUCUUCAAAUUCUCAUGGAGCUCAGUCUUGCCCUUUUUACUUCCUAGUCUGAAUCAUUGUAGCAUAGGAAAAAUAAUUAGCUAAAUUAUACUCUUUCUGAUUUCUGUUUGGCUGCUUUCUUUAGCAGCAGAGGAUGUUAUCAGCAGUUAGUGGUUACUGGUCAGAACGUGUUUUUUAAAAAUGAGUGCCAAAGGAAGGCAAUCACUUUAUGAUUCUGUUCACAUAACUUUUUCUGUAUUCAGUUUUGGAGGUCAGCUGGACUGAUUUCUGUAUGAGACAGGCUAACGGGCUGGAGCCUCCUUGAUUUCUUGGGAAAUGCUCAUAUCAGCCCAGAACUGCACAAGGCUGAGGACUUCUGCCCUGCUGUUCCCACUGCAAGCCCUGGACCUGCUGCCCAGCACUGCUGCUCCGGCAGAUCCCUGAGGCUGCAGACCACCCUCAAAAUCCACAGAAAGAAGAAAGGGCUCCCAUCUUACAGAGGGCAGGGAUGGGCCUGUGAAAGGACAUGGCUCAGCACUGCAUGGUCUGCACUGUGAUUCAUAAAAUUAUUAUCAAUAGCAAAAGUAAUAGGCAACCCAUCCUUUUAUCCAGCCAUACCUACCGCAUUCUCCUUUCCAAACUUUACCUAACCUCUGUAAACGCAGGGCAGAGGAGGAUGUUGUCAGUGAGGACGUUUGCUCCCCUCCCCCUGCACUCUUUGCACUCCGGCCACAAGUGUCACGUACUGAGCUCCCACCCGUAUGCAGGGCUGGUUUUGCACUCAAGACUCAGAUCUUUAUGGCCUAUAAAUUAUUGUGGUUUGGAUGCAAAUCUCUCCGGACAUGCAUUCAGUAGGACACACAUAAGACUGAACAUGCACAAUUACUUCUCACUGGCUUAAAUUAUAUACAGAAAUUAUGAAAAUUCACAUUUGCCUGUGUAGUUAAAAAUUGCCCUUGAAAAUCUGGAGGACAUUUUCCAGUAGGUCGUAAAAAUUUUAAGGACCAUGGAUCAAAAUUUGGUCAUAAUUACUGCCAUAUUCCUCUUAAAAAAUGCAGUAUCACCCUGUGCUAAAAUGUUGCCUGGCUUUCUGUGGUUUUAUCAUCACAUAUCCUGACCUUCACUGGUGAGCUUGUCAGGCAGAGAUUAACAAGGAGGGAUCUUCUCUGCAGUGGCACUGGAGAGCUGAGGCAGGGAAGUGGAUAAAAAAUGAAAAUGAGUAGCAUUGCUAGUAGAUGAAACCAGGAAAGAAGGGGGGGGGAAAAAAAAGAGAGGAGAAAAAGAAAAAAGAAACCUCCUUGAAGAGGCUAUGGCAAGACUUGUUGGGGGCAGGGAAGCAGAUGAACCACAGUUAAUCUGAAGGGAUUUAUAAACCUAAGAGCAAAGGAACUUCUGUUAAAAACCCACUGGUAAUGUGAAGCUGCUGGGGAAGAUCUUGAAGCAAGCAAUGGAGGCACAGAAAAAUCCUGUCGCUGUCAAGAGUUAGGCAGUGCCCCUGCAUAGCACACAUGGCAUCCCACAGAAACACAGUAGAAGCUCCGUAUUCCAAUAUUUUUUACUUAAAUUGUGUCAACAUUCCCUGAACAUUUUCUUUUAGAUGCUGAAUGGGUGUGUUCACCAAAUAGUUGAAUUUUGCUUUUUAGCAGUUUUAUGCCAUCAGUUUGAAUGGUGUCUCCCAUUUCAUGAAGGGAUAAACAUGAUCAGGAUCAGGCCGUGAGGUCUAUGACCGUUCAGGUGGUUCUGCCUGCUCAAACGUAGUAUGUUUUUUCUGGAUCCUUUGAGUGUCUAACCUCUACGAGCACUAAGGGAAUGCUGUAUGGGGCAACCACAUACUAAGACCUCAAAUUCUCUAGCUGCUCUUGAAAAGGAAGGCACUUUUAUCUAGUAUUUAUCAGCAAGUUGGCUUAAGAACAUUUGUAAUGUCAAAUCAUUUGAUGGUUUUGAACAAAAAUUGUGCAUGAAUUUACUGAGCUGUGCAGACUGUCCAACAAAAAUACUCAAGAAGACUUUGAAUUUGAUUGUUUUGU